rnacentral:rRNA from 1 species
UACGUAGGGCGCAAGCGUUGUCCGGAAUUAUUGGGCGUAAAGAGCUCGUAGGCGGUCUGUUACGUCCGCUGUGAAAACCCAGGGCUUAACCCUGGGCUUGCAGUGGAUACGGGCAGACUAGAGGCAGGUAGGGGAGAAUGGAAUUCCCGGUGUAGCGGUGAAAUGCGCAGAUAUCGGGAGGAACACCGGUGGCGAAGGCGGUUCUCUGGGCCUGACCUGACGCUGAGGAGCAAAAGCGUGGGGAGCGAACAGG